rnacentral:tRNA from 1 species
AGAAGGGUAAGCUAAUUUUAAGCUGUUGGGCUCAUAACCCAAAAAUAGACACACUCUUCCUUCUA